GAGCCUAUCACUUUGUCCAUGCCACCCCUUUCACAAGCUUCCUCUUUUUCUCUGGCCCCAAACAAACCAACUCUUGGUCUUCUUUCACAUUUCUUUCUCUGCGGGGGCUCUGCCUGUUUUUUUCAAAGCAAUGAGAUAAGAAAGUUUACAUUCCUAAUAAUAAACUUCAAUACACAUAAAACUACCCCAGAAAGGCAUUCCAGGAGAUGUUAAUAUUUGGGAAAAUAAAUGCGUAUUUAAAAAAGCAGUAUCUCUCAUGAUUUUAAAGUACAGUCCAAAUCUUGCACUCUUCUUGCAGACAGCUUCUCAUGUGCUGCUUUGGAAGUUUUGCUGGAGAAAGGCUGCAGGAUUUGUUUCAGUAACAAGCUUUCUGAAAUAAAGAGUUGGAUUUCCACACAGAUAAAAUCCACUCUGCUACCUGGAUAUUCUGCAGCUACGACAUGAGAUAGAGAAGCAAAGAAACACAAUAUACAGGUAACUUCUUAGAGAGAGAAAAGGGUUUGAAGACAUUUGAAAGGAAAAAAGAAUGAAUGGGUAUCUGAGUCACUGGGAUCCUCACUUUUAAAAUCUGUGAUGUUCAUGAGUACCAUCCUCACAGUCUAGAAAGUUAAUAUGUAAUUCCAUGUGCUGUGCAAGCGUCACUUCCCUCCAGAGCGUCGUUCUUCCCCCCUUCAAAUAAUUUCCUAAUGUCUCCACUGUUCAUUUCCCUCGUCACUACUUUCUGUCUUGCUGAGGUCUGAUCUGGUUGCAUGUUCUAUAUCAUGUCCUUCUCUUGAAAAACACAUUCAUAUGACAAUUAUUGCAGCUUUCUCCUAUGGCACCAGGAACUCUCAGUUGAGUGCUACUGACUGCACACAAAGAGGCACAGAUAGAGACAACUGGCUUCUGUAAGUGUGCAGCUUACAUCUACUCACAUCCCAGGGCGCAGAUUUCUUUUGGAAGUACAAUUUACAUGAGGGUGCACAAGAAAAAUUUAAAUAUUGGGUAUGGAGCACACGAUCUAAAACUGAAUGACUUCGGAAAUACA